GUCCAAGCAGUAACGUUGAACAUUAAAUGCAAGAUUAAUAUUUGUGUUAAAGAUAACUCAUUAAAUGUUCCGCCUGAGUACUACGAUCGCAAGAUUAAAUUCAAAUAUUUGACGGUUCUUAAUCUCCGUCCGGAGGAGCAUGUGGUUUAAUUCGAUAACCCGCGAGAAACCUUACCUAAUUUGGUUAAAUAUAAUAAUUAAUUUAUUAAUCAGAUGCUGCAUGACUGCCGU
rnacentral:rRNA from 1 species